rnacentral:rRNA from 1 species
UACGAAGGUGGCAAGCGUUGUUCGGAUUUACUGGGCGGACAGGGAGCGUAGGCGGUUGGAUAAGCCCUCCGUGAAAUCUCCAGGCUUAACCUGGAAAGUGCAGAGGGGACUGUUCAGCUAGAGGAUGGGAGAGGAGCGCGGAAUUCCCGGUGUAGCGGUGAAAUGCGCAGAUAUCAGGAGGAACACCGGUGGCGAAGGCGGGUCUCUGGGCCGAAACUGACGCUGAGGAGCGAAAGCGUGGGGAGCAAACAGG